AGGCGUGAGCCACCGCGCCCGGCCUGCAUCAGGUUUUGAUGAGCACGUGGCCAGGAGUAGGGUAGUGCUGUCCAGCCGAUCCCCUGCCCGGGGAACCUCCUGUGGAUUGCCUGGCAUUGAGGUUGAUCGUAUGCCCUAGCCAGGACAAAUUUCUGGAAACCCUUUUGCUUUAGUCAUGGGGGCAGGGCUUUACCCACUGAUACUCCCCAGCUUGCAAUGCUUCAGCAAUAAUCUGGACUGGGUUUCAUCACAAGUGGUGUUAAGUCUCCAAGGCUUUACAUUUGGACUAUUAAUAACCGUGCCCUGGUUAUCAAUAGAAAGGGGCACUCCAAGAGUGUGAACUAGGUCCUCGUGUUGAUGGUGAUUCUGCCAGCCUUUGCUACAGGCAUUCCUUUAGCCAUUCAGAGAAGAUACACUCAAAUGCUACAGUAUACUCUAAGAUAUGAAUAAAAUGGACCAGGAUAUUUUCAGAAGGCCCCAAAGGAGAGGAUGACUUGCCCUCAUUUUCUUGACAACUUUUCUCACAUCUGGGCCUGUGCAAUAAGAAAGCUCUUACAAAACUGCUGAGACACACUGGGAAAUCCAGGGUAUACCGAUCACAUCCAGCCAGUUCUGGCACUCCUUGGUGUGUGCCAAGCUAGGGGCUAUGGGAACAGGGUGAGUGGGUAGAUCCUUUGAUGCCACUCCAAAGCUUUCUGGGGAGCACCAAAAUGACAGGAAUGCAAAAUCUCUGAAGGCUCUUUUCUGAAUUCCAAGCUGACUCUGCAGAAGGGCCAAACUUAAAGAAGCGGCCCAGGCUGAGCGCAGUGGCUCACACCUGUAAUCCUAGCACUUUGGGAGGCUGAGGUGGGUG
rnacentral:lncRNA from 1 species